rnacentral:rRNA from 1 species
GAGGGAUCAUUACACAAAUAUGAAGGCGGGCUGGAACCUCUCGGGGUUACAGCCUUGCUGAAUUAUUCACCCUUGUCUUUUGCGUACUUCUUGUUUCCUUGGUGGGUUCGCCCACCACUAGGACAAACAUAAACCUUUUGUAAUUGCAAUCAGCGUCAGUAACAAAUUAAUAAUUACAACUUUCAACAACGGAUCUCUUGGUUCUGGCAUCGAUGAAGAACGCAGCGAAAUGCGAUAAGUAGUGUGAAUUGCAGAAUUCAGUGAAUCAUCGAAUCUUUGAACGCACAUUGCGCCCUUUGGUAUUCCAAAGGGCAUGCCUGUUCGAGCGUCAUUUGUACCCUCAAGCUUUGCUUGGUGUUGGGCGUCUUGUCUCUAGCUUUGCUGGAGACUCGCCUUAAAGUAAUUGGCAGCCGGCCUACUGGUUUCGGAGCGCAGCACAAGUCGCACUCUCUAUCAGCAAAGGUCUAGCAUCCAUUAAGCCUUUUUUUCAACUUUUGACCUCGGAUCAGGUAGGGAUACCCGCUGAACUUAAGCAUA